ACAAGGGUUUGGAUUUAUGGCAGGCCCGUCCCCCUGGGUCUUUCAUAGUACCCCACGCCAGGGCAAACCGUGACCUUGAACUCUCCUCUGGCCUCCAUCCAUAGGCCACAGACACUGAAGCAGGUUACACAGUG